AAACCAGCACCUCAAGUGGUCAGGAUGAUUAUUGGGCCUAAAGCAUCCGUAGCCUGCUCUGUAAGUUUUCGGUUAAAUCUGUACGCUUAACGUACAGGCUGCCGGGAAUACUGCAGAGCUAGGGAGUGGGAGAGGUAGACGGUACUCGGGAGGAAGUGGUAAAAUGCUUUGAUCUCUCGAUGACCACCUGUGGCGAAGGCGGUAUACCAGAACACGUCCGACGGUGAGGGAUGAAAGCUGGGGGAGCAAACCGGAUUAGAAACCCGAGUAGUCC
rnacentral:rRNA from 1 species